rnacentral:lncRNA from 1 species
UCGCGACUCUCGCUUGUUCUAGAAGUUUCGGGGACGAACAAGAUUGGACGUGCCUCUCGUAGACUGCGAAUGACAUACAUCAGUGAUGAAUGCGUUGAGUAUAUCUCACUGUCCUCUUGUCGAGAAUUUUAUCGAGCUACGGAUUUAUAUUUUGAUGUAAUUGCGAUAAUGACUCUAUUACAUUUAUUUUUUCGUAGUAUCAGCGUAAAUAUCUGAUGAAUUCUCGCGAUACCCGACGACAACGGUUUCGUCAAUUGAGAAUCCCUCUCCGCAAUCUCGAUUUUCCGAAGACAGUACGAUCUGAAUUAUGGUCUUCAGUAUAAUAGAAGCGAAGGGUGAAAAAUGAGAGAUGCUCCAUUUUCAGAAAUAUCUCAGUUUCUUUACGACUGAAUUAAACUCAGGUUCCGUCCUGAUAGAUCCCUGAACGGACGUUCCUGGCGACGUAGCAUGUAUAAUUGCAUAUCGGCAAAUUGUCGUUCAGUUGUAACACGACACGGCGCGACGGGCAAAACCCGGCAAUUACCUAGAACACCAAAAUUGUAAAUAGCUCAUUUGACAGGUUUUUCAUAAUUCCCGAAAAAGCACCUUCGGUGCAAAGACCUUUCGCCAAGUACAUUAAAAAUCUGUUCAUUACACACAAAAAUAUCUUCUUUAAUCAAAAAUGUAUGCAUAUAAUCAUCUCGUACAAAAAAAGAUUCAAAUUAUAUACUACUGCUAAGUACAUGUCUGUUGAUUUACAAUAAAAGCAUGAUGACUGCUGUCAGUGGUAUCAGACUGGCGAUAAACUUAUCCAACUACAAAUAAUAAUUAAGUAUGAAUAAAAAAUAAAAUAACUCGUACAUUGAUGAAAAUCCAAUUCGCAAUUCACCAAUCCUAUUUAGAGUAGUGUAAUAAUUAUGACUAGUUUGUUGUAUAUUUUUUACUUAGUUCUGAACCUAUGACUAUGAAACACAGUGACCUCACUUUUUUUCAUUAUAUUAUACGAGUUAAAUCAGUGUCCAAAAAAUGAAAUUAGCACUAUGACCAGUUAUAUUGUUUAUAUUGUAUCCAAACAGUUGUUUUCUUGAAAUUUAUAAAUUUCUGCUGGGAUUCAUAUUACUGGCUUCUCUUGUUCGAAGCUUUAUGUGUCUUGUAUCCCGGAAGGUCAGUUACAAUUGGCAAGAUAUACUUUGCUAGUUCAAAUUUACUCAUCUGACUAUGUUCGAUACACUGAGCACUCAGUGCUACAUGUAUCGCAUCAUAUACUUGAAACUUCGAUCAAUCACGUUUAUUUGCAGAGUAUCAAGCUACCCAAGUUUCCAUAAUUAUUCAGACAUUUAUCAUAUAAUCCCUAUAUCAACACCGAAUUGAGUUUUUGUUUAAAAUUUAUCGAUUAGAACUCCAAGUAAAUCUCGUUUCUGAAUCAGGCACUAAAAAUAAAAAAAAAGGUGAACAAAUGUCAAAUUGCUCAAGUCUUGAUCGUUGAAAGUUACACAACAUCAAUAAUAAAAAAUUACCUUCAGUAUUGUGAAGUUUUACUUCAGAGUGACCAACAUUUAAUUACAUGGAUAUCAACACACACGAAACUUUGCUGUUAAAUUGGUAUCACUAUAAUUUUGUGGAAAGACUAGACUUCAAAUUCUGAAUGUGCAAAGUGUCAAAUCUUUCUAAAGCGGUAUUAUAAAACUACUUUUGAUGCACUUUAAAGUUAUACAAAGAAAUCUGUGAACAGAUCUUACGGUGAUGGUCAAAGGGGCCACUCGCUUUAAAUUCAUCAACGAUUCAGAAUUAAUUCCCUCAUGAUGUCCAAUAUUAAAAAUUAGUUUGAAUUUCAAUAUUCUUCAAGUGGUUCCUAAAAGUUUGGAGAUGUUUGGUAUAUUACUAAUUUCAAAGUGAUUGUCGAUAUUAAAUUAAAUCUUGAAUCCCAGUGAUUUCCAGUGAUUUUUAAUUAAUUCCUCAAGUGAAUGGUUCCUCGAUGCUGGUGUUUGAUCCUGCGUUCGGUCGGUCAUAUUGAAUAACUAGCUAUCCAUGCGCAUGUCACACCAAUUUUGCUUCAGUUGAAGCUUUUAAUUUCUAAAAUAUAGAAAGAAUGUUUUAAUGUUGAUGUUACAGAAGAAUAGGUUACGUAAAACAGUCCAGAAAAUGCUUGAGAAAAUUAUUAAUGGCUCGUAAGACUCACCACAAGAUUACACAGCUACUUGAGAUAUUGUUUACAGCGAAGAAGGAAGAAAGUUUUUAACCAAAAUCUACGACAGUUUCAAUUUUAAGAAUUUUGAACAACUGGUAAGGAGUGGAUGCACAUAUGUAUAUUGUCAAUGCCUUUCAUUGCGAUGGGAUAGAAGUCUACAAAAAUAUUCUUAUACACUGUCUUUAAGCAUGGUCAACCUACGUUUCAACUCUAAAUAGUCGCUACAUGAGUUGUUUCGAUACCGUUAAAAAAUGUACUUGCAAAUAUAUUUGCUUUCUCUACUCUAUUCUCUCCUUAAGUCUUACAGGUGUAAAAAUAUAAAAGUAAAAUACAAUAAAAAAAUAAUAUGAAACUAGUGUGAUAAUGACAAUUGUUAUAUUGUACCUGGGAGCUGCCGUCCAUGAUUUUAUAAUAGCGUUUUUGGUGUAUUACCCAAUGAUAUAUGUGCCUGUCUUGUUUAUUAUCUAAUAGAUAAGUAAAUAGGUAUAAAAUGCUGACGACUGAUGUUGAUCAAUCGUAGAAAGUUAUUCAAAAAAAACAUGUUUGGGUGUUUGACAUUGAUUUUAGUGAACUUGCUGUUAAAUAGCAGAUUUAAUUGCUGACGUAUUAUACAGUGCAUUAUAAUUAUACAAAAUCCUUGUCGGAACAUGUGGUAUAUGUACAAAUGAUACUUACCCUGGUAAAAAUGAUUUCUAUGAUUUUCUACGAAUUUUCAGAGAAAUAGGAACAUUUCGAAUAAUUCUAUGCAAAAAAUUGUAAUACGCAUAGUUUCUCAUAAAAAAUGGUCAAUUUUCAUGAAAAUUUGUAUUUUUUCAGUAAGAAGUUUAUAAGACACUACAACUUUCAAAGAAAACUAACAAUUUUUCAUGAAAAACCGUACACAUUCACAAUUUUGUAUGGAAUAACACGAAAUAUUCCAAUUUCUGUAAAAAUUCUUAGUAGUAAAAAUUUUCACCAGGGUAUCUGUAUGAAAAUACAAAAUUUCUAUUUUCCGCGCUUUUGUUUGUAUAAUAACCGAAUUUUCAUAGUUCUUGUCGAUUUUUUAACGUAAGUAAAUAAUCGUCAUAGUGACCACCUGUUAUGAUGUUCAUAGCAUGUAGACAGUGUACAUAUAAGUAUAAGAUUAUCUCCAUUGUAUAAAAUAAUGUAAGAUUACCUACAUUGUGUAAAAUAAAUAACUUGUUUAAGUGCCUAUACCUCA